UACAGAGGGUGCGAGCGUUAAUCGGAAUUACUGGGCGUAAAGCGUGCGUAGGUGGUUGUUUAAGUCUGUUGUGAAAGCCCUGGGCUCAACCUGGGAAUUGCAGUGGAUACUGGGCGACUAGAGUGUGGUAGAGGGUAGUGGAAUUCCCGGUGUAGCAGUGAAAUGCGUAGAGAUCGGGAGGAACAUCCAUGGCGAAGGCAGCUACCUGGACCAACACUGACACUGAGGCACGAAAGCGUGGGGAGCAAACAGG
rnacentral:rRNA from 1 species